rnacentral:tRNA from 1 species
GCAGGGAUGGCCGAGUGGUCUAAGGCGCUAGACUCAAGCGAACAGCUUCGUUGCGGUGCAACGGCGGGCGUUCUAGUAUCGUUAUCGAUGCGUGGGUUCGAAUCCCACUUCCUGCA